UGCACAAAAUGUAGCUCCACCCCCCUCUGCUUCACAACUGUGCAAAACCAAAGUUCAAUUCCUCUCCGACCCUCAAAGACUUCGUCCAGUCGCCGGAGGUUUCAUCAGAGUGGUGAAAAUCGGUCGACUCCGUCUUUCUCCAGAGAAAAUCGGUGAAGUCAUUGCAAAGAAAACUGUAAAGAAUAGGAAGGGUUUUCAGGUAACCGUGCAAAAUCGUCUAUUUUAUAUGAAUUUUGACUUCUCCCCCUUUAUCCCUCGUGGUCAGAAUUAACUACAGAGGAUGGCGGUGACAAGCCAAGUCUUGAUGCCGACGAGUUCAUUUACCUUUUGCACUGGUCGUUUCUCUUUUGCUAUAUUUAUUGUUUACAUGUUAGAUCCAUAUGUGUAUAUGUGUUGUUGCAUGUUGGUAAAUUAUGUACUAAUUAGAGAAAUUAAUAUUUUAACCUUAGGUUUAAAGUUGUGGUUCUUUAGAAAUUGGGGGAUUUUAGAAUCAAACCGAUCUCUAAACUACAGAUAGUCCUAUUUAGAGUUCAGAGGCAACAAAUGGACGAAAACUAUUAUGAAACUACUUGAUAGAGCUACGGACGACUCAUUUAGCGAGGUAAUGAAUUGAAUUUUCACUUUAUCAGAAAAGGUAUAUAUAGGUAUUUGUGGCAGUUUUCAUCUUUCGUACCGAUGGUCAUGAUAUUUCAUUAAUUAUGAUAUCAAUUUUUGGUUUUUAAUUCUCCUUUAUUCUCUCUGUUGAUGGUUGUAAAAUUAUAGUUUGUUUGAACAAUACAUGAUGAUCAAAUCUCCACUUUUUCAUUUUUACAAUUCGUUAACUACAUUCUACGUAUAAUACAACUGUGACGCCGAGUUGUGUUGUUUUGAUUGUUGAACAUAUUGAUCUCAUUUGCUAUAUUCAUGGUUUUCUUUGAUUUUUGCAGGUUUUAUGACUUUUGAUGAGCAACAAAUGUCGUUGGAUUGUAAGUAGCUAUACAUUUCCUUCUCCUUUAAUAUAUUUCAUUUCACUAGCUUAUUGUAGGGAUGGUCUGGAUGAGUUGUUUGAGCUUAAGGUCCUCUUUUUUUGUUCGUUUUUCUCCGUGUUAUGGUUCUUCUGUGUGCUUCUAUGUUUGGGUGCAUUUUUUUAAUAGCAACUGCACUUUUUAUUUUUAUUUUUUUCACAGUUCAUAAUUAUAUGUCGUGUUUAGGAUCAAAUGAAAAUAGUUUCUCUACCUUCUCAAGUUAUGGAUAAGGUUGUGUACACCAUCUUUCCUACACCUCACUUGUGGAAGACCUAGCAAAGUACAAAAUAUAAAUAAAGCACAAGAUCAAUAGGUAAUUCCAAUGGUUAGGAUUAAUAUUCAUUUUGUUUUGCUACAAUUAUAUCAAGUAUGUUGUUUGCUAGGAGUCCUUUUAGUUCAUUACUGAUUUGUAUUUCGGUUGGAAAUAUAGAAAACCGUUUUAAUAGAGUACCUUAAUCAUUAUUUGAGUAUUGGAAUAAAACUGCUCCAAAUGGAACAAUAUGUAUAUUUAGUGUUCAUAUAGCCCAUCUCAAUUGGUUUAGGUUUGAAGCAUAGUUUUUUUAAUUUGUUGAUCACAAUUUUCUGUGCAUAACAGUUUAUUUUUCCUGAAAAAAGUAGGAUCAUUUUGUCAUCAUGUUUGCUAGGUUCAUCGUUUCCAUAACAACUUCUUCUUUUCCUUUGCAAUGUCAGAUCUUUUUGGACUUCUCUCAUUUGUUAUCCACUUAUUGUUCUGCUAAAUCUUUGAACAAGUUCUAGCUACAAUGGAUUUAUGUGACAGAGACAGUACUCCAGUUUAUAUGCAUUUUAUAAGUUGUUUAACUUUUGACUAAUAUAAGGUGUAUGAUGCUAUACAUACAUAAAUAAAUAUGACAGAUUAAAUAUUUUCUUUGAACACAAAGGUCAUAUUUAGCUGGAGUUAGUGCCUAAGGUAGCUAUUUCUACUGGUACAAUUAGCUAAGUUGAAGGAUAUUAAUGGAGAAAUUUCUUGAGGUAUGAUAGAAUAAAUGAAGAUGGAUUAACACCCACAUUUUUCAUGGCUCUUACAAAUUAUUAUGGGCUAUAUCAAAGAAGAAAGAAAAGUUAUGAUUUCAAUGGGUUCAUACGUUCUAUAUAAAAGGAAACUCUAUAGACAAUGUUCCUACACGUAAGAAAGCGAGUUGGGUAGUUAGGAAAAUAUUGGAUGCAAGCUCUUCGUUGGCUACGGGAAUCCCCUGCCAUACUGCCCUUGACAAUUUCGUUGAUAAAGGUCAUGUGGCUGUCAAAAGUUGUUAGUAACAGAUCGCCCAAAAACACUAUCCUAGGAUUCCUGUAUACUGUCGUUGUCUACCAUACUUGGAUGGAGAAAAGCAAUAGUAAUGGUCUCAAUUCUUAGACCUUGAGUUCAAAAGGACCACCUGUAUAUAUUUGCAAUUUGGUUGAAUAAAAUUUUAUCUUUUGACCAAAAAUAAAAAGAAAGAAAAGAAAACUAACAAGGAUCACGUAGUCUGAUAUGUGGAAUUUGUGGACUUAUCAUUCUUCCUCACUCUUUCAGCAUUGGAUUUACAUGUUUCGGUAGGUUCUUGAUGAGUUUUUUUUUAUGUUCUUCCGUCUUUCAGAUUGUUAAGUUUUUCUACUAGAUCUGUGAUAAUUGUGUUGAUAAUGCACCAAAUUUAUUGGCAAAUUAUUAGAAGAGAAUGUAAAAAUUGACUCCCUAAUAAAUAAUGUUGAGAUUUAAUGCAGUGAACUAUUCUACAAAAUAAAAUUAUAUAUUUCCUCUUUUAUUUAGUUUCUCUUAUGCAAUAUUAUUUUUCAGAAUGUCAUUUCUGUUAACUCCCUAUAAUGUCCUUUGAUUGAAUUUAUAUGAAUUAUAUUAACUCAACUGACACACAGUCUUUUUUAUACUUUCCUAUAAGAUAAGAAAAAUUAUGAUGAUUUUCAAGUAUUUAACAUAAAUAUGAGGACUUUAAGAGCCUAUUUGGAUUGUGACUUAUUUCAAAUCUUUUCAAGUCAAAAUUACUUUUAAACAUUUUUGAAGUAUUUCGAUAAAAUAAAGUAGUGCUUAUAAGGAAGCCUGUUUGGAUUGGCUUUUUUUAAGUCAAAAUUACUUUUAAGUAGUUUUGAAGUAUUUCGAUAAAAUAAAGAAAUGCUUAUAAGCAUUUAUUUUUAAGUCAAAAUAACAAAAACAGGCCAAAAAUCAUAAGUAAAAUUUUUUAACUGAUGACUUUUGGCUUAUGGGUCAUAAGUCAAGAGCCAAUCCAAAGUUUGUUUUUGUGUUCCCUAUGACUGAUAAGAUUUAUGUAAUUGGUCGAUCUAUGUCAAGAGCUAUGAUAUGUCAAUUAGUCUAUCUAUUUCAUAGAUUUUGAUCAGCCACAAUACUACUACCAAAGAAAAAUGUGUUUGUAGUUUUUCUAUCUAUAAGAAGCUCAUAUAAUCAUGUGUGAAAUUUACCAUAAAGUUUACAUAAAAAUGUAGCUGAUAACUAAAUUUGUGUAUUUUGUUUUUUUCUUAUUUUGUUUGUGGCAUUUAUAAUUUGACCUGACUGACUUUUCGGACAGAUUCUACUUGAAUCAUUCUCUUCACAAGAAUGAGUUUGAUUUUGCUCAUGGCAUUAAGCAGAUGAAGUGUUAGGAUGGCUUCAAAAGUCAAAACUAUGGAUUAACUGAGUGGUAUAAAUGUUACAAGUUUGAGCUUUUUUCCAAACUAAGAUAAGAUUAAUUGUAAUAGGUUGUAGUGCUUUUACAUUAUUUUUACCAAGGAAUUUCUCUAUUUUGUUCCGUUGAUAACUUGAUAUUAACGUGUUCAAUUUGCUUUUAGCAACUUCUAAAUGCCUACUUUGUGAUGCUCUUCUAGACACUAUAACUCAUAGCGAACCUGCAUAUUCUAAUGCAAAAGUUGUUGUCAUUCUUUUAAUUUUACUAUAUGCAUUGAUUGCAAUCAAAUUUGUUUUUUUGUUGUUAGUCUGUUAUAUUAAAUUGCUUAUUUUAACGAUGAUAAAGUGUUGUUACAACUAAAAAGGGAAAAAUGAAGGAUAAAACUGGGCUAUUUUGAGGAGAACUAAUAUGAUGAUAUCAUGUAACUUUGGGAGCUUUCGUGUUCUCAAGCAUGUUUACUGCUAUUAUAAUUUUGCAAUGGUGCCAACUCGAUGUUUAUAAUCUUGAGCUAUGAGUUUCUCAAUAUUUAGCAGUAUUAAUCACUAACUUAAGUUGCGAAAAAAAAAGCCAGAUAAUGCGCACUUAAUGGAGUUGCAUAUUGAUUAUCAUAGAUCUGACUUCCUGUAAACCUUGCAAAUUAAGUGUUCUACCAUCUUUUGAUUCUAUAUAUGAAUGUUCCUUUGAAUGUAUCAUUUAACUAUUUUUUGUAAUGCAAGAAUUCUUUAACCACUAGAUUUUACCUGUAUGCUAAUCAAAACAAAUUAUGUGUGACAACAUGUGGAAGUAGCUUCUCUUUUUAUCAUUUUGACAAGUCUAGAUAAGUAUGUUAUGGUGUAUUUUAUUAGUAAGAAGUUGUACUUGAAAUGUUGUCUCUGCUCUUCUUUUUGAAAAUGUAUGGCCAUGACCAUGAUGAGGGUGUGAAGAACUUGGCAUUUGUUUAUCCAAACAAAUAAUUUUAUGUAGUUCCUUUUACUGGAAUCUAUAAUGCCAUGUAAAUGUGAUUCUUCUAAAAAAAUGCUCACUGUAUUUUUGAAAAUACGUAGGAUCUAAUCAAAUAUUUCUUUGUUUUGAAGGAUAUUAAGCUCUUAUGUACCCGAUGUGUACCCUAUCAGAAAGUAAAUAUCACACAUUUUUAACAGAGGAAGAGAAUCAGUUGGAGAAUGCAUUGUCUUAUUUGUCAUUGUUCAGGAGAAUACAUAACAAUAACAAGAAUGGUACUCUACUUUUAGGAAAAUUUUGCAAGAUAGAUUUUAAAAAUUCUACUUAAAAUAAGAAAAUGAAGGAACUGAUUGCUUCCAUGUGUGCAAGGCAGUGUUCAUUAACAUUCUUAUAUAUGUGUGUAAAUUUUUUGCCCUUAUGAUGGCUUCUUCAAUUACAUGUCAAAUAGGUGUUGCUUCAUAAGUUCAGUUUUUUUUUUUUUUUUAAAAUCCAAUGUUACUACUGUUUUAUUGUUUGUAGUAGCCAAUUCUUUUGUGUUGCUUCUUCUUUUGCUGAAAUUGCUGCAUACAUGUCAAUUAUUUUUUUAUUUUUUCAAAAACGAUGUAUAAGGUUCAGUUAAAGAUGGCGAAUUCACUCUUAAUUCUACAUUUUCAGCUAUGAAGUUUCUCACUCCGUCAUUCCCUCUUUCAGGUAAACAAUGGAGAGAGAGGAAGAAGGUGUAGAAGGGUCAGGAGAAAUGAUUGCGGCGAGUCUGGGCUUAAUUCAUUUGAUAUGAUUAGAAUUUUUUGGUUGGCAUAAAAUCAGCAGUGUUAUCAUUACUUCUAUUUACUCAACUGGAUUCUUAUCAAGUAAAAUGAGUGAUGAUAUGUAUAAUUCAGAACAGAAAACAUGUUCUCUUGCAAGCACCAAAUCAACACUCACUGAAGUCAUGCACACAAUUAAUGAGCGAAGGGGUAAGUAAUCGACUGUGAAAGUUAGUUUGCCAUGUUAUGUUGUAUACUUUUUAUACAGUGUCGUUAAAUUGCACAAGAAAGAUUGAUGAUGUACCAGCUUUUUAGAGAAAGAAGUCUGAGUUGAUUUAGCCAAGAAGCUUGAGGAAUUUGGAAAACCUAUGUAGUAAAAUUUGCAGGGAAACACAAGAAGACACUAUUAUUUGGCUUGUACUACUUGUGCAUAAUUUUUUUUUGAAGAUUUGUAUUUGCCCUUCCCUAACAUUUCACAUAUAUGAUUUCCACUCGGGUGAAUCAUACCAUCAUAUAAGCUUAUGCAAUUUUAAGUGUGUUUUUCAUGAGCUA
rnacentral:lncRNA from 1 species